rnacentral:rRNA from 1 species
AACGAACGCUGGCGGCAUGCCUAACACAUGCAAGUCGAACGAGACCUUCGGGUCUAGUGGCGCACGGGUGCGUAACGCGUGGGAAUCUGCCCUUGGGUUCGGAAUAACAGUUAGAAAUGACUGCUAAUACCGGAUAAUGUCUUCGGACCAAAGAUUUAUCGCCCAGGGAUGAGCCCGCGUAGGAUUAGCUAGUUGGUGAGGUAAAGGCUCACCAAGGCGACGAUCAGUAGCUGGUUUGAGAGAACGACCAGCCACACUGGAACUGAGACACGGUCCAGACUCCUACGGGAGGCAGCAGUGGGGAAUUUUGGACAAUGGGGGGCAACCCUGAUCCAGCAAUGCCGCGUGAGUGAAGAAGGCCUUCGGUUGUAAGACUCUUUUGUUCAGGGAAGAAACGGUGAGUUCUAAUACAGCUUGCUAAUGACGGUACCUGAAGAAUAAGCACCGGCUAACUACGUGCCAGCAG